UUUCCUCUUAAUAAUGGUUUCCAACCGUUUCUAACAAACCCUUUAUUCUGCUGCUACUCUCUUUUUCAUGGGAAAAAAGUUGUUACUCUUUCCUUUCUUUGCAAUUUGGACAACCCUAGCCAAUGUCAAAAUUGCAUCACAUGUGGUGAUCUGAAUUGAAACCCAAUAGUUUUCAUUCAAGUUGGUAACUUAAGCGACAAAAAGGUAGAUGUUGUCACAAUAAUUUCAAGCUUUUCGUCACUUGGCCUCACUUUUUUGGUGCUUCAAUCACAAAGGAGAAGAGAAGUAUUUUUUUUCAGUAAAAGAUCAACCACUAUUAUCAUUACUUGGUUUUGAGAGAGUAUGAGUCGCUAGGGGUACUCCAGUGAAAUUCUUUACUCUUUGUCAUUUUCCAUUCCAUUUGGAUUUCACAGUGUUCGUCUUCAAAUUGAUAUUCGGUUUUGGCAAGGGCUACAACUGAACAUUCAAAUAAUUACCCUCCAAAGCAAUAACAAACUGUGAGACACCCGAGAAAUGAGAAAUAGUCAUGUAGUAAAUAUUACAAAGACCAUAAAUAGCUUACAAAAAGUCUGACAAGAAACAAUGAAGUCUUGUAACUUUUGUUGAAAGAAAAUGCAUAUACUACCGUUGAAACAAACUCAAAUUAUCAAGUUAGUACUAAAGUGAGGAAGAUGUUGCGAGAAAAACUUAUAAUCAUCACAUAAUCCAAGCAAAUAUGUAUCAUUAUUUUUUUGAUCAGUAAUUGUAUAUUAUUCUUCAGUUAA